GUUAUAUGGUCAAGUGAAGAAGCGCAUACGGUGGAUGCCUUGGCAGUCAGAGGCGAUGAAAGACGUGGUAGCCUGCGAAAAGCUUCGGGGAGUCGGCAAACAGACUUUGAUCCGGAGAUCUCUGAAUGGGGGAACCCACCUAGGAUAACCUAGGUAUCUUGUACUGAAUCCAUAGGUGCAAGAGGCGAACCAGGGGAACUGAAACAUCUAAGUACCCUGAGGAAAAGAAAUCAACCGAGAUUCCCUUAGUAGUGGCGAGCGAACGGGGAUUAGCCCUUAAGCUUCAUUGAUUUUAGCGGAACGCUCUGGAAAGUGCGGCCAUAGUGGGUGAUAGCCCCGUACGCGAAAGGAUCUUUGAAGUGAAAUCGAGUAGGACGGAGCACGAGAAACUUUGUCUGAACAUGGGGGACCAUCCUCCAAGGCUAAAUACUACUGACUGACCGAUAGUGAACCAGUACCGUGAGGGAAAGGCGAAAAGAACCCCGGAGAGGGGAGUGAAAUAGAACCUGAAACCGUAUGCGUACAAGCAGUGGGAGCCUACUUGUUAGGUGACUGCGUACCUUUUGUAUAAUGGGUCAGCGACUUAUAUUCAGUGGCAAGCUUAACCGUAUAGGGUAGGCGUAGCGAAAGCGAGUCUUAAUAGGGCGUUUAGUCGCUGGGUAUAGACCCGAAACCGGGCGAUCUAUCCAUGAGCAGGUUGAAGGUUAGGUAACACUGACUGGAGGACCGAACCCACUCCCGUUGAAAAGGUAGGGGAUGACUUGUGGAUCGGAGUGAAAGGCUAAUCAAGCUCGGAGAUAGCUGGUUCUCCUCGAAAGCUAUUUAGGUAGCGCCUCAUGUAUCACUCUGGGGGGUAGAGCACUGUUUCGGCUAGGGGGUCAUCCCGACUUACCAAACCGAUGCAAACUCCGAAUACCCAGAAGUGCCGAGCAUGGGAGACACACGGCGGGUGCUAACGUCCGUCGUGAAAAGGGAAACAACCCAGACCGCCAGCUAAGGUCCCAAAGUUGUGGUUAAGUGGUAAACGAUGUGGGAAGGCUUAGACAGCUAGGAGGUUGGCUUAGAAGCAGCCAUCCUUUAAAGAAAGCGUAAUAGCUCACUAGUCGAGUCGGCCUGCGCGGAAGAUGUAACGGGGCUCAAACCACACACCGAAGCUGCGGGUGUCACGUAAGUGACGCGGUAGAGGAGCGUUCUGUAAGCCUGUGAAGGUGAGUUGAGAAGCUUGCUGGAGGUAUCAGAAGUGCGAAUGCUGACAUGAGUAACGACAAUGGUGUGAAAAACACCCACGCCGAAAGACCAAGGGUUCCUGCGCAACGUUAAUCGACGCAGGGUUAGUCGGUUCCUAAGGCGAGGCUGAAAAGCGUAGUCGAUGGGAAACAGGUUAAUAUUCCUGUACUUCUGGUUACUGCGAUGGAGGGACGGAGAAGGCUAGGCCAGCUUGGCGUUGGUUGUCCAAGUUUAAGGUGGUAGGCUGAAAUCUUAGGUAAAUCCGGGGUUUCAAGGCCGAGAGCUGAUGACGAGUCGUCUUUUAGAUGACGAAGUGGUUGAUGCCAUGCUUCCAAGAAAAGCUUCUAAGCUUCAGGUAACCAGGAACCGUACCCCAAACCGACACAGGUGGUCGGGUAGAGAAUACCAAGGCGCUUGAGAGAACUCGGGUGAAGGAACUAGGCAAAAUGGCACCGUAACUUCGGGAGAAGGUGCGCCGGCUAGGGUGAAGGAUUUACUCCGUAAGCUCUGGCUGGUCGAAGAUACCAGGCCGCUGCGACUGUUUAUUAAAAACACAGCACUCUGCAAACACGAAAGUGGACGUAUAGGGUGUGACGCCUGCCCGGUGCCGGAAGGUUAAUUGAUGGGGUUAGCGCAAGCGAAGCUCUUGAUCGAAGCCCCGGUAAACGGCGGCCGUAACUAUAACGGUCCUAAGGUAGCGAAAUUCCUUGUCGGGUAAGUUCCGACCUGCACGAAUGGCGUAACGAUGGCGGCGCUGUCUCCACCCGAGACUCAGUGAAAUUGAAAUCGCUGUGAAGAUGCAGUGUAUCCGCGGCUAGACGGAAAGACCCCGUGAACCUUUACUGUAGCUUUGCACUGGACUUUGAGCCUGCUUGUGUAGGAUAGGUGGGAGGCUUUGAAGCGUGGACGCCAGUUCGCGUGGAGCCAUCCUUGAAAUACCACCCUGGCAUGCUUGAGGUUCUAACUCUGGUCCGUGAUCCGGAUCGAGGACAGUGUAUGGUGGGCAGUUUGACUGGGGCGGUCUCCUCCUAAAGAGUAACGGAGGAGUACGAAGGUGCGCUCAGACCGGUCGGAAAUCGGUCGCAGAGUAUAAAGGCAAAAGCGCGCUUGACUGCGAGACAGACACGUCGAGCAGGUACGAAAGUAGGUCUUAGUGAUCCGGUGGUUCUGUAUGGAAGGGCCAUCGCUCAACGGAUAAAAGGUACUCCGGGGAUAACAGGCUGAUACCGCCCAAGAGUUCAUAUCGACGGCGGUGUUUGGCACCUCGAUGUCGGCUCAUCACAUCCUGGGGCUGAAGCCGGUCCCAAGGGUAUGGCUGUUCGCCAUUUAAAGUGGUACGCGAGCUGGGUUUAGAACGUCGUGAGACAGUUCGGUCCCUAUCUGCCGUGGACGUUUGAGAUUUGAGAGGGGCUGCUCCUAGUACGAGAGGACCGGAGUGGACGAACCUCUGGUGUUCCGGUUGUCACGCCAGUGGCAUUGCCGGGUAGCUAUGUUCGGAAAAGAUAACCGCUGAAAGCAUCUAAGCGGGAAACUUGCCUCAAGAUGAGAUCUCACUGGGAACUUGAUUCCCCUGAAGGGCCGUCGAAGACUACGACGUUGAUAGGCUGGGUGUGUAAGCGUUGUGAGGCGUUGAGCUAACCAGUACUAAUUGCCCGUGAGGCUUGACCAUAUAACACCCAAACA
rnacentral:rRNA from 1 species